AGUGAACGCUGGCGGUAGGCCUAACACAUGCAAGUCGAACGGCAGCACAGUAAGAGCUUGCUCUUACGGGUGGCGAGUGGCGGACGGGUGAGGAAUACAUCGGAAUCUACUUUUUCGUGGGGGAUAACGUAGGGAAACUUACGCUAAUACCGCAUACGACCUACGGGUGAAAGCAGUGGAUCUUCGGACCUUGCGCGAUUGAAUGAGCCGAUGUCGGAUUAGCUAGUUGGCGGGGUAAAGGCCCACCAAGGCGACGAUCCGUAGCGGGUCUGAGAGGAGGAUCAGCCACACUGAAACUGAGACACGGUCCAGACUCCUACGGGAGGCAGAAGUGGGGAAUAUUGGACAAUGGGCGCAAGCCUGAUCCAGCCAUACCGCGGGGGUGAAGAAGGCCUUCGGGUUGUAAAGCCCCUUUGUUGGGAAAGAAAAGCAGCAGGUUAAUACCCCGCUGUUCGGACGGUACCCAAAGAAUAAGCACCGGCAAACUGCGG
rnacentral:rRNA from 1 species